AUUGAACGCUGGCGGCAUGCUUUACACAUGCAAGUCGAACGGUAGGGUAGCAAUACCUGGGAGUGGCGAACGGGUGAGUAAUGCAUCGGAACAUGCCUAUUUGUGGGGGAUAGCCCGGCGAAAGCCGGAUUAAUACCGCAUACGAUCUACGGAUGAAAGCUGGGGACCGCAAGGCCUAGCGCAAAUAGAGUGGCCGAUGUUAGAUUAGCUAGUUGGGGGGGUAAAGGCUCACCAAGGCAACGAUCUGUAGCUGGGUUGAGAGAACGACCAGCCACACGGGGCCGGGAACACGGCCCAGACUCCAACGGGAGGCAGAAGUGGGGAAUUUUGGACAAUCGGCGCAAGCCUGAUCCAGCAAUGCCGCGUGCAGGAUGAAGGCCUUCGGGUUGUAAACUGCUUUUGUACGGAACGAAACGGCUCUGGUUAAUACCCGGGGCUAAUGACGGUACCGUAAGAAUAAGCACCGGCUAACUACGUGCCAGCAGCCGCCGUAACAC
rnacentral:rRNA from 1 species